rnacentral:rRNA from 1 species
UACGAAGGGUGCAAACGUUGCUCGGAAUUAUUGGGGCGUAAAGCGCACGUAGGCGGCUUUGUAAGUCGGAUGUGAAAUCCCUCGGCUUAACCAAGGAAGUGCAUCCGAAACUACAGAGCUUGAGUACUUAAGAGGAUCGCGGAAUUCCCGGUGUAGAGGUGAAAUUCGUAGAUAUCGGGGAGGAACACCAGUGGCGAAGGCGGCGAUCUGGGAAGAUACUGACGCUGAGGUGCGAAAGCGUGGGGAGCAAACAGG